CUGAGAGUUUGAUCCUGGCUCAGAACGAACGCUGGCGGCAGGCUUAACACAUGCAAGUCGAACGAACUCUUCGGAGUUAGUGGCAGACGGGUGAGUAACGCGUGGGAACGUGCCCUUCUCUAAGGAAUAGCCACUGGAAACGGUGAGUAAUACCUUAUACGCCCUUCGGGGGAAAGAUUUAUCGGAGAAGGAUCGGCCCGCGUUGGAUUAGGUAGUUGGUGGGGUAAUGGCCUACCAAGGCGACGAUCCAUAGCUGGUCUGAGAGGAUGAUCAGCCACACUGGGACUGAGACACGGACCAGACUCCUACGGGAGGCAGCAGUGGGGAAUAUUGGACAAUGGGGGCAACCCUGAUCCAGCCAUGCCGCGUGUGUGAAGAAGGCCUUCGGGUUGUAAAGCACUUUCAGUGAGGAGGAAAACUCUGCGACUAAUACUCGUAGGGCUUGACGUUACUCACAGAAGAAGCACCGGCUAACUCCGUGCCAGCAGCCGCGGUAAUACGGAGGGUGCAAGCGUUAUCCGGAAUCACUGGGUUUAAAGGGUGCGUAGGCGGUUAGUUAAGUCAGAGGUGAAAGCCCGGCGCUCAACGUCGGAAUUGCCUUUGAUACUGGCUAACUUGAAUCAGGUUGAGGUGGGCGGAAUGUGGCAUGUAGCGGUGAAAUGCAUAGAUAUGCCAUAGAACACCAAUUGCGAAGGCAGCUCACUGGCCCUGCAUUGACGCUGAGGCACGAAAGCGUGGGGAGCGAACAGGAUUAGAUACCCUGGUAGUCCACGCCCUAAACGAUGCUUACUCGAUAUUCGGUCGUAAGACGGAGUGUCCAAGGGAAACCGAUAAGUAAGCCACCUGGGGAGUACGUUCGCAAGAAUGAAACUCAAAGGAAUUGACGGGGGCCCGCACAAGCGGUGGAGCAUGUGGUUUAAUUCGAUUAUACGCGAGGAACCUUACCUGGGCUCGAAUGCGCGUGACCGGUCCUGAAAGGGACUUUCUCUUCGGAGCACAAAGCAAGGUGCUGCAUGGCUGUCGUCAG
rnacentral:rRNA from 1 species